rnacentral:rRNA from 1 species
UAGGGAAUAUUCGGCAAUGGACGACAGACUGAUCGAGCAACGCCGCGUGAGUGAAGAAGGUUUUCGGCUCGUAAAACUCUGUUGUCAGCGAAGAACAAGGACGAUAGUAACUGAACGUCCCCUGACGGUAUCUAACCAGAAAGCAACGGCUAACUACGUGCCAGCAGCCGCGGUAAUACGUAGGUGGCAAGCGUUGUUCGGAGUUAUUGGGCGUAAAGCGAGCGCAGGCGGUUUCUUAAGUCUGAUGUGAAAGCCCCCGGCUCAACCGGAGAGCGUCAGUGGAAGCUGGGCGACAUGAGUGCAGAAGAGGGUAGUGGAAUUCCUGGUGUAGCGGUGAAAUGCGUAGUGUUAUGGAGGAACACCGGUGGCGAAGGCGGCUCUCUGGUCUGUAACUGACGCUGAGGCACGAAAGCGUGGGGAGCAAACAGU